AAGUCGUAACAAGGUCUCCGUAGGUGAACCUGCGGAGGGAUCAUUACCGAGUGAGGGCUCCGGCCCGACCUCCAACCCUUUGACGUUACCCAUCUCAGUUGCCUCGGGGGGCGACCCGUACUCGACCGAGGACGGGCCACCCCCGGUGGACCCCUCGACUCUGCGUUCUGUGCGUCGGAGUCUCAUGGGAAAUUUGAAUCAAAA
rnacentral:misc_RNA from 1 species